AGCGAACGCUGGCGGCAGGCUUAACACAUGCAAGUCGAGCGGGCGUAGCAAUACGUCAGCGGCAGACGGGUGAGUAACGCGUGGGAACGUACCUUUUGGUUCGGAACAACACAGGGAAACUUGUGCUACUACCGGAUAAGCCCUUACGGGGAAAGAUUUAUCGCCGAAAGAUCGGCCCGCGGCUGAUUAGCUAGUUGGUGAGGUAAUGGGUCACCAAGGCGACGAACAGUAGCUGGUCUGAGAGGAUGAUCAGCCACAUUGGGACUGAGACACGGCCCAAACUACUACGGGAGGCAGCAGUGGGGAAUAUUGGACAAUGGGGGCAACCCUGAUCCAGCCAUGCCGCGUGAGUGAUGAAGGCCCUAGGGUUGUAAAGCUCUUUUGUGCGGGAAGAUAAUGACGGUACCGCAAGAAUAAGCCCCGGCUAACUUCGUGCCAGCCGCCGCAGUAACAC
rnacentral:rRNA from 1 species